AAAAAGUUUUAUUUUAGCUAAAAUAAUAGGUAUUUGAUUUUUUUACAUGUGAAUUUUAGUAAUUUUAAUUAAAUUUUUUAAUAGAGUUUAAAAUAAAAAUUUAUUCGCAGUAUUUAAUUUUAGUUUUUAAGUAAAUUUAGAGCUAGAAAUUUAAAAUAAUAUUAACAUAAUUUGUGCCAGCAGUUGCGGUUAUACAAAUAAUAUAAUUUAUUAUGUUUAAUUUAUAAUUAAUUUAAUUUAGAAAAAUUAUAGUUUGUAGUUUAUUAAGUGAAAUUUUAAAUUGCAAUUAAUUUUAAUUUAAGGUUUUGAAGUUAUUAAAUUUUAGUUAAAACUAGGAUUAGAUACCCUAUUAUAAAAAUGUAAAAAUAAUAAAAUUAGAUUAUUAAUAGCUAUAAUCUUUAAAGUUAAAAAAUUUGGCGGUAUUUUAAUCUGUUCAGAGGAACCUGUCCUAUAAUUGAUACUCCACGAUUAAAGUAACUUAAUUUAAUAAUUUGUAUAUCGUCGUAGUUGAAUAUUUUAAUAGAAAUUUAAUAUUCAAAAUUUUUAAUUAAAUAAUAAAUCAGAUCAAGGUGCAGUUUAUAAUUAAGAAGAGAUGGGUUACAAUAAAUAAAUUUAUGGAUAAUAUUUUUUAAAGGUGUUUGAAAUUGGAUUUGAUUGUAAUUUAAAUUGAUUUAAUUUUAAUGAUUUUAGCUCUAAAAUAUGCACAUAUCGCCCGUCGCUCUCAUUUAAAUUGAGAUAAGUCGUAACAAAGUAAAUGUACUGGAAAGUGUAUUUAGGUAGUU
rnacentral:ncRNA from 1 species